AGCUCCUUUAAACAUAGUCCAGUGAGGCUAAAAAGGUUACGGAAUGACUCUAAAACAGUAUGCCCUUUUUCCUCAUGGAUAAAAGGGCUUUUUGUA
rfam:Virgibacillus chiguensis strain CGMCC 1.6496 genome assembly, contig: Ga0104465_102